GGACCCGCACAAGCAGCGGAGCAUGUGGUUUAAUUCGAAGCAACGCGAAGAACCUUACCAAGGCUUGACAUCCCCUGCAUAGUAUGGAAACAUAUGAAAUCGUAGCAAUACGACAGGGAGACAGGUGGUGCAUGGUUGUCGUCAGCUCGUGUCGUGAGAUGUUGGGUUAAGUCCCGCAACGAGCGCAACCCUUAUGAAUAGUUGCCAAUAUUAAGUUAGGAACUCUAUUCAGACUGCCGUGGACAACACGGAGGAAGGUGGGGAUGACGUCAAAUCAUCACGCCCCUUACGUCUUGGGCUACACACGUGCUACAAUGGGUGCUACAAAGAGAGGCGAAAUGGUGACAUGGAGCAAAUCUCAAAAAAGCAUUCCCAGUUCAGAUUGUGGGCUGCAACUCGCCCACAUGAAGGAGGAGUUGCUAGUAAUCGCGAAUCAGCACGUCGCGGUGAAUGCGUUCCCGGGUCUU
rnacentral:rRNA from 1 species